AUUGAACGCUGGCGGAAUGCUUUACACAUGCAAGUCGAACGGCAGUACGGACUUCGGUCUGGUGGCGAGUGGCGAACGGGUGAGUAAUAUAUCGGAACGUGCCCAGUCGUGGGGGAUAACGUAGCGAAAGCUACGCUAAUACCGCAUACGAUCUACGGAUGAAAGCGGGGGAUCGCAAGACCUCGCGCGAUUGGAGCGGCCGAUAUCAGAUUAGGUAGUUGGUGAGGUAAAGGCUCACCAAGCCGACGAUCUGUAGCUGGUCUGAGAGGACGACCAGCCACACGUGUACUGCGAAACGGCCCAGACUCCUACGGGAGGCAGCAUUGGGGAAUUUUGGACAAUGGACGCAAGUCUGAUCCAGCCAUUCCGCGUGCAGGACGAAGGCUUUCGAGUUGUAAACUGCUUUUGUACAGAACGAAAAGGUCUCUAUUAAUACUAGGGGCUCAUGACGGUACUGUAAGAAUAAGCACCGGCUAACUACGUGCCAGCAGCCGCAGUAA
rnacentral:rRNA from 1 species